AAAAUAGAGGAUAACAAGGAAGCU
rnacentral:sRNA from 1 species